GGACAUUUAUAGAGGAGGACACUCCUACAGAGAUCAGCACAGCACCCCCUCCCAUCGAGUGAAGAAUGUAACUAAAAGAUGGCGCCUCCGCCCAGGACUACACCCUAUCUGAUGACGCUCAGAUCCUGGAGGAAGUUCACCUUACAUGGACACAACCAAUCAGAAGCUACGAGUAUCUAGAUAACGUUAUGCUAAUGAUACAUUUGCUUACAGCAUUAGUCGCUCACCUAUAAAACCCCCCAUGUAUCCGGAACCAAUAAAGAGAGUAUCUUCAAUCUGA